rnacentral:rRNA from 1 species
GAUGAACGCUGGCGGCGUGCCUAAUACAUGCAAGUCGAGCGAACAGACGAGGAGCUUGCUCCUCUGACGUUAGCGGCGGACGGGUGAGUAACACGUGGAUAACCUACCUAUAAGACUGGGAUAACUUCGGGAAACCGGAGCUAAUACCGGAUAAUAUAUUGAACCGCAUGGUUCAAUAGUGAAAGACGGUUUUGCUGUCACUUAUAGAUGGAUCCGCGCCGCAUUAGCUAGUUGGUAAGGUAACGGCUUACCAAGGCAACGAUGCGUAGCCGACCUGAGAGGGUGAUCGGCCACACUGGAACUGAGCCCCGGUCCAGACUCCUCCGGGAGGCAGCAGUAGGGAAUCUUCCGCAAUGGGCGAAAGCCUGACGGAGCAACGCCGCGUGAGUGAUGAAGGUCUUCGGAUCGUAAAACUCUGUUAUUAGGGAAGAACAAAUGUGUAAGUACCUAUGCACGUCUUGACGGUACCUAAUCAGAAAGCCACGGCUAACUACGUG